CCUUGUUCACAUUAGGCUCACAUGCCUAUAAACCUCCUACCAUAUCUCUAGCUGUUCCAUCAACCAUAUGGAACUCUUUUCUUCUUCUCCCUAAUAUUUCUGAGUUGUAACCAUAGUUCUGAAACACUGGCUGCUCUGAGUUGUCUUUUCUUCACAUAUGGGAGUGCCUUCACUCUUGAACAUUGGGGCAGAGGAAUUUAUUUUCACUGUCCCUUAUUUUUGGGGUCCAAAACUGAGAUGGCAAGGCCAAUUGGUCUUCUAUCUUGAUGGUUUAAAGUCACAAGUACUCAAGGAACAGUCUAUAAAUAUAGUGAUAGGGUAUAUAUAGUAGUGAGAUAGAAGCAGUGAAUGAAUGAGCAGGCAUUCAUCACAACUCCACACUUAUUUGAACAUCAGAUAUUAAAGAAUAACAACCAUCAUCAUGGAUGAAUUUCUGCCUUAAUAUUUUAACUGGCCAGGCUGGGGUGGUUGCAGCCAGGAAAACUCCCCAGUCUCCUCAAAGCUAGAGAGGGAAGAAGGAAACCAGGGAGGAGCCAGCUGUUGCAAUAUCAUCCACUCUGGAAUCCCUGUUGGCUUCAUCAUUUCUAUUUUCACUGUACUGAAAGAAACAGGCAGGAAGUCUCUAGCUAGUUUGCACAUAUGGAAAACAGGCAACUAACA